ensembl:snRNA LOC120102756 U2 spliceosomal RNA
AUCGCUUCUCGGCCUUUUGGCUAAGAUCAAGUGUAGUAUCUGAGUAAAUUUGGCUAUUUCAUGAGACUUUAGUCUCCUACAAGAUGGAAAAUUUAACAAGACACCUAAUACUAGAAUAUAAUCAAUGAUUUUAGCAGUAAUUAUAAUAGGUGAAAUUAUUA